ensembl:snRNA U6 U6 spliceosomal RNA
GUGCUCGCUUGGGCAGCACAUAUACUAAAAUUGGAACGAUACAGAGAAGAUUAGCAUGGCCCCUGCACAAGGAUGAUACGCAAAUUCGUGAAGCAUUCCAUAUUUUU